CAUCGUGGAUUCGAUGUGGUCAAAGAACAAGUCGCAAGCAUCAUUGAUGAAGAAGAAGAAUAGUCAACGCCCUGCAAGUUGAUUUUUCAACGCCACCAAUAAGAAGGAAAAGAGAAAAAUAAUAAAGAAUAAAAGGCUGAAAGUCACGCCUAGAAGAAGAAGGAAAGAGGGAAAAAAAAGAAAAAAAAGGUUGAAGGUCCGUCGGAGAAGAAAAAGAGGAAGGAAAGAGAAAAAAAGAGAAAAGAAAUGUUGAAGGUUGCACCAGAGAAGAAUAAGGAAAGAAGAAGAAAUAAAUAAAUGGCAUAUUCUUAACUUCACUCAACCAUGAUAUCAACACAUAGUCAUUUGACAUUUUUCUCAGAAAAUGGGUCAUUGAACAUUUUGGGUCUCCAAAAUGGAUCAGCGGUCCAAAUUUCCCUUCCAAAAACUGAAAUGGUAAAUAUAUAAAAUCUGGCAAGAGCGUUGAGAUGCUAACAAUGCAAGUGAGUAGUUUUGUAAAGCGUCAAGUGUGGCAAGAUUACGUCAUGUUGAAGACGCUCUAUCACAGCGUCGAGAUGCUUACUCUUGGGGAAAAAUUGCAUUUGAGGUAUUUUUUACGCAUCAUCAAAGCAAUCUCAAUCCAUUUGCAAUUGAUUCAAUUACGAUUAAUUUUUAUUAUGAUUGGACCAAAUUUAUUUUUCGAAACUAUAAACAUGACCUUAGUUCACUAUAAAUUUCAAUUGCGUGUAGAACUCAUCAAAACUUGGAAUCUCUCAACUUCAAUUCACCUUUUGUCUCCCUAAAAAGAUAAAAACAAACCUUGGAACAUUGUAGCCUUUUAUUUUCUUAUAUAAUGUAAAGAGAAUAAAUGAGAGCAGGUGAAGAAAAGAGACAGCUACAAAAGUGGAUUAGCUUGGCCCAUAAACACACAAAUUAGAAGUCACCAGAUUCUUCACUUUUCCAUAUAUUUCUCAUAUUUAACUGUUCCCUUCUUCAAUACAAACUAGAAUUUUUCCUCUCAUAAAACUCUGUUCACACAUCUUUCUCUCUCUUUUCUUUUUGUCAAAAUCAUGACCUAAUAGUGAUAAAAGAAAGAGAGAGAGAAUCCCAAAAACUACUUAAUACCCACAGAACUCAGAAGGAGAAAAAAAAAAUACCAUAGUUUCUUGAGCCUUCUCAUUAAGUAUUGUGAUUUAAAUACCUUGUUCUUCCUCUUCUUCUCUUGGCAACUAAGUUUGUGUUGGAUAGAAGAUAUGAGUGAUCCCAAAUAUGCCUAUCCCUAUCCACCUCCUCAAGGAGGGUAUUAUCAAGGGCCGCCCGUGAUGGCACCACCGCAAUACGCUGCCCCACCGCCCAGAAGACAACCGGGCUUCUUGGAGGGAUGCCUUGCAGCUCUGUGCUGCUGUUGUCUCCUUGAUGAGUGUUGCUGUGACCCUUCCAUUAUCUGUAUUACCUAAUCUAAGCUUUGAUUGCCUUUCUAGCAGUAAAUUGGCUUUCUACUUCAGCAUGAAGAUUCAAGACUUCUUUUUUUUUUACCUUCUUCUUUGGAAGUGGUUUGAUUUUGUAUAAACUUGGAAUGAAGAUUGAUUGGUGUUUAGAAUAAAGCUGUGUUUUGUUGUAAAGUAUAGAGUAGUUUAUGGCUCAUUAACUAACAAAUUUAGUCUAUAAACUUUAGCAUGCAUGUUUAUUCUAGGUUUUAAACUUUGAAUUCCCUUCUCCUACCUGGAAACUGCAGGGAACUCUAGAAGCUAGAAAAUGUUCUUAUUGAUGAUUCUUUAUUCCGAGAGCAUCUAGGGUUCCUCACCUUUUCCCGAGUCCAAAGAUACGUUGAGAAUCUUCCACAUUGGAAAGACGAGAAUACCUAUAAAUCUUUAUAAGAUAGAUGAAUUACUCUUCUUGUUACCAAUUGAUUUUGAGAUGAAACUUCAUGUUUAUCUAAAUAAAAGACCACGUCAUAAACCGCCAUUCCACAAUUUCUACGAUGUUUCUACUUAAAAAUUGAUAGGGUUGCACAAACAUGAUGGGUCUUUAAAAGAAUUUUUUAUGUUUAUUUGUUUUUUUUUUGUUUGUUUCUAGCUAUAUACUUUUUUCAAUAAGCCUUUGUUGAAUAGACAUAUUAUGAAUCAUUCAUGGGUUAGAUGAACUAUACACAAUCACAAGUCGAAAGUUUAGAUGUAAUGAUAAUUUUUGGUCUAAAGAAAAUCAAGAUCCUAUAGAUGCUUUAAAAUUGCAAUUUAUCCUAACAUCACAUUUUUAUGCAUAGCCAAGAAUGUACUUGAGUUGAAAACUUUUGAGUCCUUAAAAUAAUGAGAUUAAAAGAAAAGGUUGAGAUUUGAAAAGAUGCAUUUAUGUUAUUUAUAGUUUGUAACAUUUUUGGCUCGUUCCUUGUAAUUUAUCCUAACAUCAUUUAUGUGAUUUGAAAUUGGAUUGAACAAGUACAAUCAACAAAUCAACAAUCCAUAAAAAAAGAUACUAAUUGAAAUACAAACAUUUAGAAAAUUAAAGAUAAAGAGAAAGGAAGAAAUGGCUAUCCAGACGAUCCGACUUCAUCUUCGUUUUCAAAUCCCUCUCAACUCUUGAUUUUUACCUCCAAGCUUCAAAUAUAGUGUUUUCUCUCGUCACUCCUAUCCAAAAACGUCUUCUCCUUUACGUAAAACCGAAAUGGAAAAUAUAUAAAAUCUGGGCAAGAGUGUUGAGACCCUAAGAACAAGUGAGUAGCUUUGUAUAGCAUCAAGUGUGUCAAGAUUGGAUAGCGUCGAAGUUUGAGAUGCUCUAUGACAACGUCAAUGGGGAAAAUUUGCACUUGAGGCAUUUUGACACUUUGUGAGGUAUUUUGACACAUCAUCAAAUGAAUUUCAUUCCAUUUGCGAUUAAUUUAGUUACUAUUGAUUUCCAUUAUGAUUGGACCAAAUUUUUAUCAUGGGUGUGAAAAUGUGACCUUAAUUAAUUCAAUAUAAGUUUCAAUUGCGUGUAGAAUCCAUCAAAACUUCAAAUCUCUCUAGAACAUUCUAGCCUUUUCUUUUCUUAUAUAAUGUAAAGAGAAUAAUUGAGAGCAGGUGGAGAAAAGAGGCAACUACGAUAGUGGAUUAGCUUAGCGCAUAAUAAAUGUUCGGGAAAAUCUCCCACUACUGUCGGAGAAAAAACUAUAGAUUAUAAAAAUUUCACUAUGUGAAAAAUUAUUAUAAUUACAAAGAAAUCUCUCCACUGUGUGAAAAUUUUUUACAAGUACAACGAAAUCUCUUCUCGACCCCAAUUACAAGAGUACUCUUUCAAACCAUCAUAUAUCACUCACGCAAUUGAAUUAGUAUUAAAUUGGGAUGAUGUCAAAACAAAAAUCAAACUCCUUUUAUAGUAUUUGGAGUACAUCACUUUCUUGAAUCUUUUUGAAGUGGGAUAAGUAAACUUCUAGUAUUUUGUCAUAACCCAACGUAUACACACAAAAUGAGAAGUCACCAGAUGCAUCACUUUUUUAUUUCUCAUAUUUAAUUGCCCCCUUCUUCUUCAAUACAACUAGAAUCUUUCCUUUCAUAAAGCUCUAUUCCCACCUUUUCUUUUGUCAAAAACAUGAUCAAAUAGUGAUAAAAGAAAGAGAGAAUCCCAAAAACUAAUUAAUAUCCACAUGAGGAGAAAAAAGGGUCAUAGUUUCUUGAGCCUUCUCAUUAAGUAUUGUGAUUUAAGUACCCCUUCUUCUUCCUCUUCUUCUCCUUGCAUUUCAGCUUGUGUUGGAUAGAAGAUAUGAGUAAUCACAAACAUACCUAUCCCUAUUCACCUCCUCAAGGAGGGUAUUAUCAAAGGUUGCCCAUGAUGGCGCUAUCGCCAUACCCGCCACCCAAAAGAUAAUCGGGCUUCUUGGAGGGAUGCCUUGCAGCUCUGUGUUGCUGCUGUCUCCUUGAUGAGUGUCGCUGUGACCCUUCCAUUAUCUGUAUUACCUGAACUAAGCUUUAAUUGUGCCCUUAUAGCUGUAAACUGGCUUUUUACUACAACAUGCAGAUUCAUGACUUUUAUUUUCUUCUUUUGGAGUGGUUUGAUUUUGUGUAAGAUUGGAAAGAAGAUUGUUUGGUAUCUAGAACAAAGUUGUGUUAUGUUGUAAAGUAUUGACCUUACCCAUUUGAUAGUAACUUUAAGGGUCCACUUUAAAAAGUUUAGUCUUUAAA